rnacentral:rRNA from 1 species
ACGCUGGCGGCGUGCCUAAUACAUGCAAGUAGGACGCACAGUUUAUACCGUAGCUUGCUACACCAUAGACUGUGAGUUGCGAACGGGUGAGUAACGCGUAGGUAACCAGCCUAUUAGAGGGGGAUAACUAUUGGAAACGAUAGCUAAUACCGCAUAACAGUAUGUAACACAUGUUAGAUGCUUGAAAGAUGCAAUUGCAUCGCUAGUAGAUGGACCUGCGUUGUAUUAGCUAGUAGGUAGGGUAAUGGCCUACCUAGGCGACGAUACAUAGCCGACCUGAGAGGGUGAUCGGCCACACUGGGACUGAGACACGGCCCAGACUCCUACGGGAGGCAGCAGUAGGGAAUCUUCGGCAAUGGGGGGAACCCUGACCGAGCAACGCCGCGUGAGUGAAGAAGGUUUUCGGAUCGUAAAGCUCUGUUGUUAAGGAAGAACGAGUGUGAGAAUGGAAAGUUCAUACUGUGACGGUACUUAACCAGAAAGGGACGGCUAACUACGUGCCAGCAGCCGCGGUAAUACGUAGGUCCCGAGCGUUGUCCGGAUUUAUUGGGCGUAAAGCGAGCGCAGGCGGUUAGAAAAGUCUGAAGUGAAAGGCAGUGGCUCAACCAUUGUAGGCUUUGGAAACUGUUUAACUUGAGUGCAGAAGGGGAGAGUGGAAUUCCAUGUGUAGCGGUGAAAUGCGUAGAUAUAUGGAGGAACACCGGUGGCGAAAGCGGCUCUCUGGUCUGUAACUGACGCUGAGGCUCGAAAGCGUGGGGAGCGAACAGGAUUAGAUACCCUGGUAGUCCACGCCGUAAACGAUGAGUGCUAGGUGUUAGGUCCUUUCCGGGACUUAGUGCCGCAGCUAACGCAUUAAGCACUCCGCCUGGGGAGUACGACCGCAAGGUUGAAACUCAAAGGAAUUGACGGG